CAGUUUCCUGAAAUUGGAUUCUCCCAAGGCUUUUUCUGGCCUUCCAUGAUAACAACUAAAGCAACAUGCUUUCCAUCCUUGUCAUGAGAGGGGAUCGUCUUGGUGAGGAACUUGUUUCUGGUUUUCAGCUGACAUCUUCCUUUCCUCUCCAUUUCAUUCCCGUUACUUCUAUAGUAUGGAUACUGCCUGAGCCCUAGUCAAAUAGUUCCUCUCUCUCUCUGUGGCCAGCUCCUGCUCACACGCACAGCUCUGGCGUGUGAUAUCCAUCCAGCUCUGGCAAUGGAUUCCCCCGCAAGACUGUCACUUACUCAUUAAUCAUCUUUGUUGCUUUUCUCUGAAUUUUCUCUGAGUUGAUCUCUCGUUUCCUGGUCAGAGGAACACAGAACAGCUGCUGCUUCACAGGCUUAGUACAGAAGAGGGCUCUUCUGUCUGGUCACAAAAUCGUCCUUCUCCUCCCAAGCACAUCGUGGUGACUGCACCCGCGGCUGCGUGGAAAUGCUAUCAGCUUCCAAGGAGCUCGGUGUAAGCUGGGUCUGUCCGGAACUCCUUCCAAGCAAAGUGUACAAGAGUUUAAAUGAAGAUUUUGAGAUGAGAAGAUUAUCCUGGAUUAUUCAGGAAUAACUCCAAAUUUUCCAUAGGAGCUCAGAUCUCAGCUGGACUGUGAGUGUCCCCCUUCUGGGGACACCCUCCAUGCCCUCCAGAUGACUCUGGACAUGGGGCAUUGCAGUGCCCCAUGUCCCCAUAGCUCCUGGUGCCACCCAUCAUCAUGUGCCUCCUGCUUUGUGGCAGGUGCUUGUCUACUUGUCUGUCUUUUCUGCUGGACCGGGAGCCUCCUGCAGGCAGCGACUGCCGUGUUCACCUCUCAAUCCCCUGUGUCUAGUACAGAGCCUGGCCCAUGGUGUGCACAGACCAAAAGUUACUGGCUAAAUGACUGAGCAGAUGUGGGAAGGGAAGGAAGGGAAAUCUCACUCCAAGACAAACAAGGAAGAUGUCAGAAGCCACACUAUAUAUCCUCCAAGGCAGGAGAUUUUUUCUAUCAACGAAGAAGCCUGUGACACCAUGCUGGGUGCCAGGAGUUGGGAGCACAGCUGGAGGAGGUUCAGGAUACUUUUGGAGCCAAAGAAACCACCUGAGCACUGCUCAUUAUUUGCCAAAGGAUUGCCCUAGAGUUGUCACACAGAUGUUACAGGUCAUCUUGCCCUUGCUUUGCAUCUAUGCUUAGUACAUUAUCACCCACCAUUGCUCCCACCCCCAAACAACCUGACAUCUCUCUCUCUCUCUCUCUCUCUCACACACACACACACACACACACACACCACACAACAUAUAAAGUAUUUUUUAAAUUAAAAAAUUAAACUGUAGUCAACACACAUAACAUAAAAUUUACCACUGCAACCAUUUCUAAGUGUGCAGCUCGGUAGGGUUAAGUGCAUUCAUGUCGUUCUGCAACCAUCACCACCCAUCCAUCCCCAAAACUCUUUUCAUCUUGCAAAACUGAAACCCUAUACCCAGGAAACACUAACUCCCCAUUCUUUCCCCACCCUCACACCAGCCGCCCCCUCAACCACUCUUCUACUUUCUGUUUCUAUGCAUUUGACUAUUCUCGAUGCCUCAUGUAAGUGGGAUCAUACAGCAUUUGUUCUUUUGUGACUGACUUAUUUCACUCAGCAUAAUGUCCUCAAGGUUCAUUCACAUUGUAGCAUGUGUGGAAAUUUCCUUCCUUUUCAAGGUUGAAUAAUAUUCCAUUGUACGGAUAGGCCACAUCUUGUUUAUUCAUUCCUCUGACAAUAGACACUUGAGUUGCUUCUACGUUUUGACUGUUGUGAAUAAUGCUGCCAUGGUACACACGGGUGCACAAAUACCUCUUUGAGACCCUGCUUUCAGUUCUUUUGGGUAUAUACCCAGAAGUGAAAUUUUAGGAUAAUGAGAAUUCUAUAUUUAAUUUUUUUAAGGAAGCUUCAUGCUGUUUUUCAUAGCAGCUGCGCCAUCUUCCAUUUCCACCCACAGUGCAUGAAGUUUCCAAUUUCUCCACAUCCUUGACUCCCAAAGCAUUGAUGGGUUUUGUAGCUUCUCCUGAAUAUUUCUUGGUGGAGGUGGGAGGAAGGUGGUCACAUUCCAUAUCAUAUCAAAAAUGUUUUUAAAUAUGUUCUUUAAGCAGCUCUCUUUUCCUCUGGGAUUCUAUUUCAGGACA